rnacentral:lncRNA from 1 species
CAAAGAGGUACCAGUUUGGAAAACACAUCAAGAGGCUUAUGAGAAUCCUCCCAAGGCAUCGCAUUAAAAUAUAUCACAUGAUGACCUUCCCCUUUACCUCGACUUCAUGGACCUCCUAGGGGAAGACCGACAAUGGACAGUGGGGAGGAAGUUAAUGCAGGUGAACGACACUCUGACUUCAGAAGAUGCAGGACUCCGAAGCAGCAAGAACUGCACUGAACCAGGGCUAAUUCUGCUCCUCACCUGGCAGCUUUGGUGGAAAUGCUUCCAGUGGAUCUCAACCUUGGCUGCACAUUACAGUCAUCUGGGGACCUUUCAAAUGACGGAUACCUCUGUCCCAUCCCCAAAGUGACAGAAGUAAUUGGUCUGAGGUGAGUGCUGGCACAGGGAGCUUUAAAAAUCUCUCCAGGUGUUUCUAAUGAGCAGCAACAGCUUAUAAGAAAAUUCUAAAAGCUUAAGCAGGAAGUCCCUAUUGCAAGCAAGUAUUAUUUUAGCAAUCAAGAAGGAAUUUCUCACUUCUUUAUAAAGCUCCACCCACUGAGUUGGGGAGAGGGGGAGAAGGAGACCCAACAGGGGGGGGCGGGUGUGUGAAUAAAGUCCCUUCUGCCUGCA